rnacentral:lncRNA from 1 species
GGUGUAACAGGGGCCGUGGAGCUGGGAUCUGCACACUGGGCUGUGCUGCUUGCAGAUGAGAAGAAUGAUGAGAACAGAGAGAAUCCAGUCCUGAGCAUGGUUUACCUGGGUUUUGGGCAGGUUACUGUGCCAUGCCUUUAUUCCACUCAUCAGCCUUCACAGGGAGAUGACAGGGAGGUGAGCACCGAGGAAAGACAGUGGCAGCAGAAUCUGGCAAAUACCACUGGUCCUGCAGAUCCCAUGGGAACGUUAUACAUAACGACAGGUUCUUCUGCAAUAGCAAAUGAAUCUUCUCCUUAAGUCUGGGGACAGAGAGAGAGAGAGAGAGAGAGAGCAUCAGAAAUUGAGUACCAGGG